rnacentral:lncRNA from 1 species
CUGUGCCGACCCACGAGAGCCAACUCCUAGAUUAUAGAAUUGUGGUGAGCUGGUUGUUCAACUCAGGCCAUUUUUUAAAGUUGAAUUAUAUAUAAGCUUACAGUUCAAUAAAUUAUAUUCAACAGAGGUAAUAAAUACUUGAAAUUCGUCACUUCCUACUUAUUUUUCUCUGUUUUACGAUUAUCUGUGCUCUUACGUCUAUUGUAUCCAUGUGGUAGAAACACCCUAAAGAUGGUGGCUACAGUAUAUCUUCUUCCCAAGUCCACGUUCGAGGACAUCACGUCAGUAGCUUGAGAUCAGCCACGACAAGUGUAUUUACACCACAGAAACUGGUACAUGCUACAAAUCAUGACUUGAUUGAUUGUUUUGUUGUCUAGACUUAAGGAACUAAUAGAAAAAAAGGAAUUUACAUGAAACUUCAAAACAUGCUGUGUCUGCAGCGAUUACAUUGUGAAUAGCACAAAAGAAAACUGAGGAAAUAUCCUUCCGGGGUUUGAAAACUUUUCUCGGAUACAGCAAGGAAAUGACUCAUGUCACUGACGAAUGAAGUUCUCUUAAUACAAAAUACUCAUGGCCGGGCGCCAUGAGAGUGAGUGUGUGUGUGUGUGUGUGUAUAAUAUAUAUUAUACAUAUGUAUAUACAUAUAACAUAUAAUAUAUAUGUAUAUAUAAUAUAUACAUAUAUGUAUAUUAUGUGUAUCUAUAACAUAUGUAUAUUAUAUGUAUAUACUAUAUAUGUAUAUAUAAUAUAUACAUAUAAAAUACUUAUUAACAAACAUGGUAAUAUCAGUCCACAUUCAUGUCAGAAUUACACACAUUCAUCUCCUGCAGCCUUAAGUUGGCUACAGAUAAAAAGGUGAAGCAAACACCACUAAAAGCAUUCUGUGAGAAUCAGUUGGACAUAUGGGACUUAUGGUAAAGAAUAUUAUCUAGUAUUUGUACACUGGGUUUGACAUCCAUCGUAUAAUAAAAUUCCGUUAAGUGUGUGUGAGUGGUGGCAGAGCCCGGUGUCAACAUUUCCCGCUGUGCCCCGCUGGCAGGAGGGCCACUUGACUUUCUGGCUGUCCUCUGGCCGAGGGUAUGGAAAGCUUAGUGCAGCCUUCCUGGAAGCUGCUGGCUGGUUCGUGGUGCUUCGAAUCGAGGAGUUCCACCCAGGGCUACAACACCUCUGUGUAACCUAUCAGUCCUCUUCUGUGCCCCAGGAAGCCCAGAUGAGGAAACUGAGGCUCAGAGACGUGGACCUGUCAAUGCUACAACCAGGAUUUGAACCCAGCUCCGCAGCUGCCCAACCACAGGGGGCUGAAUGAGAGGAGGCACGUGAACUCUUCCACUCACUGAGAAACACGCAUGCAAAGGGUCACUGGCUGUGGAAUCACGAUCUUCCCUUCAUCUCUGACCCUGCAGGUUCCCUUUGCAACAUCCCUUCGCUGUGUGAACCCCAGGAACAUUUUGGCUUCAGCCACCCUGAAGGCCUGUUGGCCCUUCCUGUGUUUCUACCAUUGAGACUAGAGUUUUUCAACCGAAUGUCAUUUGGGGUCAGAGAAUUAUUUGUCUGAUGUGGCUAGGGGGCUGUCCUGUACAUUGCUUAUCAGCUUCCGUGACCUCUGCCCACUAGAUGCCAGUAGCACCCCUCCAAAAUUGUGAAAAUUAAAAAUGUCGCCAGACAUUGCCAGACAUCCAUGGGGUAGCAAGACUGCCCCCGGCUCAGAACCGCUGACUACACUAUUGUCUCAUUCCCAUUCUUUAACCAACACCGAGGUUAACAGUUCCAGGCCUCGUACAAGCAUGAGCUCCUUUCAUCUUCAUACAACCAACCCUCUGAGGCAGACACGACUCUUCCCCUCCCUUCAUUUUCUGCUUGGAGAAACUGAGGCACAGACAGGCUUGGUGACUCGCCCAAUGACAUGUCUAGUAAGCAGCAGACCCAGGAUUUGGACCCAGGCUCAAAGUCCUGUGCUGCCCUCACGAGGGCAGAGACCCGGAGCACCCGCCCAGCAGUGCCCACCGCACAGGUCUACCUGAACGGCCCUCAGGUGCUGGCCCCCCUAUUCUGACCAACUGCAGGGAUCACAGAACCCCAAAACGCCCAGACUCCUGCUCUCUCU